rnacentral:rRNA from 1 species
UAAGGGAUAUUGCGCAAUGGGCGAAAGCCUGACGCAGCAACGCCGCGUGGAGGAUGAAGGCCUUCGGGUCGUAAACUCCUUUGGACGGGGACGAGGAAGGACGGUACCCGUCAAACAAGUCACGGCUAACUACGUGCCAGCAGCCGCGGUAAAACGUAGGUGGCAAGCGUUAUCCGGAUUUACUGGGCGUAAAGCGUGUGCAGGCUGUUCACCAAGUGGUGUAUGAAAGCGCUCGGCUCAACCGGGCAAGGGUAUGCCAGACUGGUGGACUAGAGACUGAGAGAGGGUGGUGGAAUUCCGGGUGUAGUGGUGAAAUGCGUAGAGAUCCGGAGGAACCCCAGAGGCGAAGGCGGCCACCUGGCUCAGUUCUGACGCUCAGACACGACAGCAUGGGGAGCGAACGGGAUUAGAUACCCCCGUAGUCC